UACGUAGGGGGCAAGCGUUGUCCGGAAUCAUUGGGCGUAAAGAGCGUGUAGGCGGCCCGGUAAGUCCGCUGUGAAAGUCCAGGGCUUAACCCUGGAAUGCCGGUGGAAACUGUCGGGCUAGAGUCCGGAAGAGGCGAGUGGAAUUCCUGGUGUAGCGGUGAAAUGCGCAGAUAUCAGGAGGAACACCAAUGGCGAAGGCAGCUCGCUGGGACGGUACUGACGCUAAGGCGCGAAAGCGUGGGGAGCGAACAGG
rnacentral:rRNA from 1 species